UUAAUUGAAGAGUUUGAUCAUGGCUCAGAUUGAACGCUGGCGGCAGGCCUAACACAUGCAAGUCGAGCGGCAGCACAGAGGAACUUGUUCCUUGGGUGGCGAGCGGCGGACGGGUGAGUAAUGCCUGGGAAAUUGCCCGGUAGAGGGGGGAUAACCAUUGGAAACGAUGGCUAAUACCGCAUAACCUCGCAAGAGCAAAGCAGGGGACCUUCGGGCCUUGCGCUACCGGAUAUGCCCAGGUGGGAUUAGCUAGUUGGUGAGGUAAGGGCUCACCAAGGCGACGAUCCCUAGCUGGUCUGAGAGGAU
rnacentral:rRNA from 1 species